GGAAGCGUGCCCGAUCAAUCAAGGAAUACUUUGAUAGAGUAUACAAAAGGGGUUCAACUCCCCUCACUUCC
rnacentral:tRNA from 1 species